UUAUUUUCAGGUUGAUUGGGUCUGAUUUUUGUGAGGACAGAUCAAGACUGAUUUUUGAGGAAGCUGUGUUGCAAAGACUUGGAGAAUGGCAGCUCCGUGGUGUUGCUAUUAUGAAGGCUUGAAGAGAAGAUGACUUCGGUUGGACUGGAUUUGAUGUUGGAGAAAAAGGAGCAUGACAGAUCGGAGUAGAAAAACAUGGUAACUGGUGGCAGAUGGUUUUGUUGAUGAUCAAAAGAUGGAAAUGGGGCUGCUGCUAUCCUUUUUUUUUUUUUUUUGCAAAAAGUGAUGGAUUUUUUACCCUUUUUAUUGGUUUUAU
rnacentral:lncRNA from 1 species